UACGGGGGGGGCAAGCGUUGUUCGGAAUUAUUGGGCGUAAAGGGCGCGUAGGCGGCGCGGCAAGUCUCCUGUGAAAUCUCCGGGCUCAACUCGGAGUCUGCAGGAGAAACUGCCGUGCUUGAGUGUGGGAGAGGUGAGUGGAAUUCCCGGUGUAGCGGUGAAGUGCGUAGAUAUCGGGAGGAACACCUGUGGCGAAAGCGGCUCACUGGACCACAACUGACGCUGAGGCGCGAAAGCUAGGGGAGCAAACAGG
rnacentral:rRNA from 1 species